CAGAAGAUACUUGUGUUUUCCUGUAGUUGACAAAAAACGGUAGAAGAUGUUGUUAGCCCAAAUAAAUCGAGAUUCUCAGGGAAUGACAGAGUUUCCUGGAGGAGGGAUGGAGGCGCAACAUGUUACGCUGUGCUUGACAGAGGCAGUCACCGUGGCAGAUGGUGACAACUUAGAAAAUAUGGAAGGCGUAAGCUUGCAAGCAGUAACACUUGCAGAUGGUUCUACUGCUUACAUACAACACAAUUCUAAAGAUGCAAAACUCAUA
rnacentral:lncRNA from 1 species